UACGUAGGGGGCAAGCGUUGUCCGGAAUCAUUGGGCGUAAAGCGCGUGUAGGCGGCCCGAUAAGUCCGCUGUGAAAGUCCAGGGCUCAACCCUGGAAUGCCGGUGGAUACUGUCGGGCUCGAGUCCGGAAGAGGCGAGUGGAAUUCCUGGUGUAGCGGUGAAAUGCGUAGAUAUCGAGAGGAACACCUGCGGCGAAGGCGGGUUGCUGGGCUGACACUGACGCUGAUGCGCGAAAGCUAGGGGAGCGAACGGG
rnacentral:rRNA from 1 species